rnacentral:lncRNA from 13 species
AUGGGCAGAACACGAUGGAACCCAGGAUCUCAUAAGACCCAGGAUCAGGAAAGGACUCAGGAUCAGGGAAGGCUCAGGAAAGGACUGAAAAACAGGGCAGGACUCAGGAUAAAGACAGGACCCAGGAUCAAAACAAGACCCAGGAUUAAAAUAGUACUCAGUAUCAGGGCAGGACCCAGGAUCAGGGUAGGACUCAGGAUCAGGGCAGAACCCAGGAUCUGGGCAGGACUCGGGAUCAGGGCAAGUCUCAGGAUCAGGGCAGGACCCAGGAUCAGGAUAGGACUCGGGAUCAGGGCAGAACCCAGGAUCUGGGUAGGACUCGGGAUCAGGGCAAGUCUCAGGAUCAGGACAGGACUCAGGAUCAGGGCAGGACUCAGGAUCAACACAGGACUCAGGAUUCGGAAAGAUCUCGGAAUGAGGACAGGACCCAGGAUCAGGACAAGUCUCAGGAUUAGGACAGAACUCAGGAUUAGGACAGAAUUCAGGACCAAGGAAAGUCUCAAGAUACCUGGGAUCCUGGCUUCUUGGUUGGAAAAUGGGGGCCUGAGUGCAGACCCAGGGAUAGUGGCCAAAGAGUCAUUUCCCUGGGGCCUGGCUGACUCCAGGCUCAGUGGUUUAGGGCACAGAGACUGUCAGUCAGCACCCUACAAGGCACCGAGGCCGCACUCCAAUGGGUGGGCAGAGUUGGAGAAACAAGGGCAGCGCUGCUCAGAAGCUCAGGAACCCCCUCUCUGAGACCUUUGGGCUUCGCUGACAGAGGAGGACACAGGGAUGGAAACUCUGAGAAAGCCACAGCUGUGGGAGGGUCCCGGUGCCCUACCCCGCACAUAGGAUGAUGGCCACCCCAGGCGGCUGGUAGAAGGAGCUGAGGGAAUGCAGGUGGAAUCCUAGCAGAAGCCAGGGAGCCAGGGGACCCAAGGAUGUGUCCUUGGAGGUUGGUCUCCUGGGCAGGGCAGAGCACCAGCCUGGAGGUAUUUCGCACACCCCCGGGACACUUGGCAACCAUGGCGGUGUGGGCUUGGGAUGGGCUCCCAAAUUUUCAGCGCCCAAAGCAAUGAGACAACCCAGGCCGAGCAUGGCUAAGGAAUUUAAGACCAUCACGCUGAGGCCCUUCUCAUUUGCAUGGCCCCUGCAUCUACAACCCUCACAGCCGUCCCCUGGGCCCAGAUGUCCUCGGGAAUGAGGACCAUCACGCUGAGGCCCUUCUCAUUUGCAUGGCCCCUGUGCCCAGAUGUCCUCGGGAAUGAGAGCACUCUUGUGAAACACGUGGUUUUGUUUGGAGGAGCAUUUUCAGUUCUGCAACGGGGGGGUGCACGGCCUUGCUCUGCUGGCCAUUGUCCUGCUUCAGCUCUGGGUCUGAACGUGGCUCUAGGUGGCUCCGGGGUCACUGCAUCCACACCCAGGGACACUCACCUGGGCCGCCUCCAAAUCCUGCCCAGCCGUGGGGCCAAAUCCAAGUGCCGGGAGGACAACUGACUGGGGCCACACCCACCCGCCACCCCGCCAGUCGUGUGGCAUCUGGCGGUCCACAGCCUCCCUGGCCCUCAGUAUCUUCAUCUAUACAAUGGGAGGAGUGGUGACCACUUUGCAGAGCUGCUGGAGACCAGAGGCCAUGAAAAUGAAGUUGCCGGCCGCCGCGGACUCUCUGCUGGCCCACGGUCUGUUUUGCUCUGCGGCUCUCACUCUCCCCCUUUAGUCCCUGAAUGCAGUGCCCCCUCUUCUCUGGCCAGUGGGG